rnacentral:rRNA from 1 species
CUAUAAGAAUGGGAUAACUUCGGGAAACCGGAGCUAAUACCGGAUAAUAUUUUGAACCGCAUGGUUCAAAAGUGAAAGACGGCCUUGCUGUCACUUAUAGAUGGAUCCGCGCUGCAUUAGCUAGUUGGUAAGGUAACGGCUUACCAAGGCAACGAUGCAUAGCCGACCUGAGAGGGUGAUCGGCCACACUGGAACUGAGACACGGUCCAGACUCCUACGGGAGGCAGCAGUAGGGAAUCUUCCGCAAUGGGCGAAAGCCUGACGGAGCAACGCCGCGUGAGUGAUGAAGGUCUUCGGAUCGUAAAACUCUGUUAUUAGGGAAGAACAUAUGUGUAAGUAACUGUGCACAUCUUGACGGUACCUAAUCAGAAAGCCACGGCUAACUACGUGCCAGCAGCCGCGGUAAUACGUAGGUGGCAAGCGUUAUCCGGAAUUAUUGGACGUAAAGCGCGCGUAGGCGGUUUUUUAAGUCUGAUGUGAAAGCCCACGGCUCAACCGUGGAGGGUCAUUGGAAACUGGAAAACUUGAGUGCAGAAGAGGAAAGUGGAAUUCCAUGUGUAGCGGUGAAAUGCGCAGAGAUAUGGAGGAACACCAGUGGCGAAGGCGACUUUCUGGUCUGUAACUGACGCUGAUGUGCGAAAGCGUGGGGAUCAAACAGGAUUAGAUACCCUGGUAGUCCACGCCGUAAACGAUGAGUGCUAAGUGUUAGGGGGUUUCCGCCCCUUAGUGCUGCAGCUAACGCAUUAAGCACUCCGCCUGGGGAGUACGACCGCAAGGUUGAAACUCAAAGGAAUUGACGGGGACCCGCACAAGCGGUGGAGCAUGUGGUUUAAUUCGAAGCAACGCGAAGAACCUUACCAAAUCUUGACAUCCUUUGACAACUCUAGAGAUAGAGCCUUCCCCUUCGGGGGACAAAGUGACAGGUGGUGCAUGGUUGUCGUCAGCUCGUGUCGUGAGAUGUUGGGUUAAGUCCCGCAACGAGCGCAACCCUUAAGCUUAGUUGCCAUCAUUAAGUUGGGCACUCUAAGUUGACUGCCGGUGACAAACCGGAGGAAGGUGGGGAUGACGUCAAAUCAUCAUGCCCCUUAUGAUUUGGGCUACACACGUGCUACAAUGGACAAUACAAAGGGCAGCGAAACCGCGAGGUCAAGCAAAUCCCAUAAAGUUGUUCUCAGUUCGGAUUGUAGUCUGCAACUCGACUACAUGAAGCUGGAAUCGCUAGUAAUCGUAGAUCAGCAUGCUACGGUGAAUACGUUCCCGGGUCU